rnacentral:tRNA from 2 species
GCCGAAGUAGCUCAGCUGGUAGAGCAACGGUUUCGUAAACCGUAGGUCGUGGGUUCAAGUCCCAUCUUCGGCU